CGCGAAUUCGCCCUUCGGGGUGCAGCAGGCGCGAAAACUUUACAAUGCCGGCAACGGCGAUAAAGGAACCUCGAGUGCCAGGUUACAAAUCUGGCUGUCGUGAUGCCUAAAAAGCAUUGCAUAGCAAGGGCCGGGCAAGACCGGUGCCAGCCGCCGCGGUAACACCGGCGGCUCGAGUGGUAACCGUUAUUAUUGGGUCUAAAGGGUCUGUAGCCGGCCGGGUAAGUCUCUUGGGAAAUCUGGCAGCUUAACUGUCAGGCUUUCAGGAGAUACUGCCUGGCUCGAGGCCGGGAGAGGUGAGAGGUACUUCAGGGGUAGGGGUGAAAUCUUGUAAUCCUUGAAGGACCACCAGUGGCGAAGGCGUCUCACCAGAACGGACCUGACGGCAAGGGACGAAAGCUAGGGGCACGAACCGGAUUAGAUACCCGGGUAGUCCUAGCCGUAAACGAUACUCGCUAGGUGUCGGCCACGGUGCGACCGUGGUCGGUGCCGUAGGGAAGCCGUGAAGCGAGCCACCUGGGAAGUACGGCCGCAAGGCUGAAACUUAAAGGAAUUGGCGGGGGAGCAC
rnacentral:rRNA from 1 species